ACAUCACAUCAAUCUAAAUUCGGCCACACCCUAAUCCGCCAGCUGUCACUUUCUUCUAUGAAUACCCAGUCCAAUGCCUUUGUUCCACCUCGCUUGAAAACUUCCUCUCUCAAUCUCAACCCAGAUUUGUUCCUUCUCUCUCUGAUUCCACACAAAUCUCUCUUCCUUUAAAUCCUCCAUUGGAGGAGCUUAAGGCCUCGUUGCUGUUCUGGUCUUUGGUUUGUUU